UCGUGUCGUGAGAUGUUGGAUUAAGUCCCGCAACGAGCGCAACCCUUAUCAUUAGUUGCUACGCAAGGGCACUCUAAUGAGACUGCCGGUGACAAACCGGAGGAAGGUGGGGAUGACGUCAAGUCCUCAUGGCCCUUAUGGGUAGGGCUUCACACGUCAUACAAUGGUCGGUACAGAGGGUUGCCAAGCCGCGAGGCGGAGCCAAUCCCAGAAAGCCGAUCGUAGUCCGGAUUGUUCUCUGCAACUCGAGAGCAUGAAGUCGGAAUCGCUAGUAAUCGCGGAUCAGCAUGUCGCGGUGAAUACGUUCCCGGGUCUUGUACACACCGCCCGUCACACCAUGGGAGUGGAAUCUGGCAGAAGUAGGUAGCCUAACCGCAAGGAGGGCGCUA
rnacentral:rRNA from 1 species